AUACGGAGGAUCCGAGCGUUAUCCGGAUUUAUUGGGUUUAAAGGGUGCGCAGGCGGCCAUUUAAGUCAGCGGUUAAAUCGUGGGGCUCAACCCCAUUCUGCCGUUGAUACUGGGUGGCUUGAUUGCGGUCGAGGUUGGCGGAAUUCGUUGUGUAGCGGUGAAAUGCAUAGAUAUGACGAAGAACACCGAUUGCGUAGGCAGCUGACCAGACCGCAAAUGACGCUCAUGCACGAAAGUGCGGGGAUCGAACAGGAUUAGAUACCCUGGUAGUCCGCACAGUAAACGAUGAUUACCCGCUGUCGGCGGCAGACAGUCGGCGGCCAAGCGAAAGCGAUAAGUAAUCCACCUGGGGAGUACGCCGGCAACGGUGAAACUCAAAGGAAUUGGCGGGG
rnacentral:rRNA from 1 species